UACGAAGGGGGCUAGCGUUGUUCGGAAUCACUGGGCGUAAAGCGCUUGUAGGCGGAUCGUUAAGUCAGGGGUGAAAUCCCGAGGCUCAACCUCGGAACUGCCUUUGAUACUGGCGAUCUUCGAGUCCGGGAGAGGUGAGUGGAACUCCGAGUGUAGAGGUGAAAUUCGUAGAUAUUCGGAAGAACACCAGUGGCGAAGGCGGCUCACUGGCCCGGUACUGACGCUUAAGAGCGAAAGCGUGGGGAGCAAACAGG
rnacentral:rRNA from 1 species